CCGGAUUUACUGGGCGUAAAGGGUGAGUAGGCGGUUAUAUAUGUCAGGUGUAAAAGAUCAUGGCUCAACCAUGGUUGGCACUUGAAACUGUAUGACUUGAGUGCAGGAGAGGUAAGCGGAAUUCCUAGUGUAGCGGUGAAAUGCGUAGAUAUUAGGAGGAACACCAGUGGCGAAGGCGGCUUACUGGACUGUAACUGACGCUGAGACACGAAAGCGUGGGUAGCAAACAGGAUUAGAUACCCUGGUAGUCCACGCUGUAAACGAUGAGUGCUAGGUGUUGGGUAGCGAUAUUCAGUGCCGGAGUAAACACAAUAAGCACUCCGCCUGGGGAGUACGUACGCAAGUAUGAAACUCAAAAGAAUUGACGGGGACCCGCACAAGCAGCGGAGCAUGUGGUUUAAUUCGAAGCAACGCGAAGAACCUUACCAAGGCUUGACAUCCCCUUGACCAGUGCAGAGAUGUACUCUCUUCUUCGGAAGCAAGGGAGACAGGUGGUGCAUGGUUGUCGUCAGCUCGUGUCGUGAGAUGUUGGGUUAAGUCCCGCAACGAGCGCAACCCUUAUCCUUAGUUGCCAGCAUAUAAGGGUGGGCACUCUAAGGGAGACUGCCUGUGAUAAACCGGAGGAAGGUGGGGAUGACGUCAAAUCAUCAUGCCCCUUAUGUCUUGGGCUACACACGUGCUACAAUGGUCGGGUACAACGGGGAGCGAAGGAGUGAUCCGGAGCAAAUCCCAAUAAACCGAUCCCAGUUCGGGAUUGCAGGCUGCAACUCGCCUGCAUGAAGUCGGAGUUGCUAGUAAUCGCGAAUCAGC
rnacentral:rRNA from 1 species